rnacentral:rRNA from 1 species
ACACAUAGCCAUACCACCCUGAGAACGCCCAGUCUCGGAAGCUGAGCAAGGUCGGCCCCGGUCAGUACUUGGAUGGGAGACCAGCUGGGAAUACCGGGUGCUGUAAUCA